UGGGGAAUAUUGCACAAUGGGGGAAACCCUGAUGCAGCGACGCCGCGUGAACGAAGAAGGUAUUCGUAUCGUAAAGUUCUGUCCUAUGGGAAGAUAAUGACAGUACCAUAGAAGAAAGCUCCGGCUAAAUACGUGCCAGCAGCCGCGGUAAUACGUAUGGAGCGAGCGUUGUCCGGAAUUAUUGGGCGUAAAGGGUACGCAGGCGGUUUAAUAAGUCGAAUGUUAAAGAUCGGGGCUCAACCCCGCAAAGCAUUGGAAACUGAUAAACUUGAGUAGUGGAGAGGAAAGUGGAAUUCCUAGUGUAGUGGUGAAAUACGUAGAUAUUAGGAGGAAUACCAGUAGCGAAGGCGACUUUCUGGACACAAACUGACGCUGAGGUACGAAAGCGUGGGAGCAAACAGG
rnacentral:rRNA from 1 species